AUGCAGGUGUUCGGCGCGGCAGGCCCGCCGAGGAACACGACGCUAAUGCUGCACGUCUACGGCGGACGGCUCGUGUACUACAACGAUGAGACCAAGGUCGUCAACGGCCGCAUCUAUGACCGGUGGUUCGGGCUCAACGUGGUCCACGACGUCCAAGCAUCGGCCCUCACCGUGUUCAUUGACGGCGACGAGAGGCUGGUCGUCCCAGGCUACGGCGGCGACCUCCACUACUUCAAGUUCGGGGUGUACACUAAGACUCCCUACUGA
rnacentral:rRNA from 1 species